CCUACGGGUGGCAGCAGUGAGGAAUAUUGGUCAAUGGGCGUAAGCCUGAACCAGCCAAGUCGCGUGCGGGAUGAAGGUUCUAUGGAUCGUCAACCUCUUUUAUAAGGGAAUAAAGUGUGGGACGUGUCCUGUUUUGUAUGUACCUUAUGACUAAGGAUCGGCUAACUCCGUGCCAGCAGCCGCGGUAAUACGGAGGAUCCGAGCGUUAUCCGGAUUCAUUGGGUUUAAAGGGUGCGUAGGCGGCCUUUUAAGUCAGCGGUCAAAUUGCGGGGCUCAACCCCGUACUGCCGUUGAAACUGCAUCCCUUGAGUGCGCGAGAGGUAUGCGGAAUGCGUGGUGUAGCGGUGAAAUGCAGAGAUAUCACGAAGAACUCCGAUUGCGAAGGCAGCAUACCGGCGCGCAACUGACGCUCAUGCACGAAAGCGUGGGUAUCGAACAGGAUUAGAUACCCCUGUAGUC
rnacentral:rRNA from 1 species